UACAGAGGCCCCAAGCGUUGUUCGGAUUCACUGGGCGUAAAGGGUGCGUAGGUGGUGAGGUAAGUCGGAUGUGAAAUCUCUGAGCUCAACUCAGAAAUGGCAUUGGAAACUACCUCGCUUGAGGGUUGGAGGGGGGACUGGAAUUCUCGGUGUAGCAGUGAAAUGCGUAGAGAUCGAGAGGAACACCAGUGGCGAAGGCGAGCCCCAGGACAACACCUGACGCUGAGGCACGAAAGCUAGGGGAG
rnacentral:rRNA from 1 species